rnacentral:lncRNA from 10 species
GUCAAGGUGGGAGUCUUAAAAGCACGGGGAGAAUACGUCUACUCAGCAGGGAGCAAUUUGGGAUGAUGCAAGCAUUCAUAGGAAAUAUGGAGAGGCUUGAACUGGACCAUGUGGUGCUGGAGAGGCCAUCGCACUGACUGGCAAGAGAAGACCUGUUUCAUGGUGGUCCACAGAGCAAUUUCCCUGGCUUCACUCAAGGCUAACUCUCCUCCAGCAAAACACCCCUCUUCUCCUCCCACAGAUGAAGCAGGACCGCCUGCUGAAAACAAUGGAAGUUUGUUCUCUCAGAGUUCUGGUGGCCGGAAGUCUGAAAUCAAGUUGUUUGCAGUGCCAGCUCCUUCUGAAGCC